rnacentral:sRNA from 2 species
CUUCCCGUCAUUGGGGAGUAGCUGACCGCCACGCGCAACGUGUGGCGGGGCCCGCGUCAACACACUUGGCCCUCACGGCCAUGGCGCGGGCAGUGGAACACCCACCUGGCAAGACCUUUGACUGCACGCCUUCCGGAACAAGGGCCGGGCGGGUGUGCGGUCGUCUUGGUUGUCAGGCCCUGGAGUGUU